rnacentral:rRNA from 1 species
UACGGAGGGUGCAAGCGUUAUCCGGAUUCACUGGGUUUAAAGGGUGCGUAGGCGGGUUGGUAAGUCCGUGGUGAAAUCUCCGAGCUUAACUCGGAAACUGCCGUGGAUACUAUCAAUCUUGAAUAUCGUGGAGGUAAGCGGAAUAUGUCAUGUAGCGGUGAAAUGCGCAGAUAUCAGGAAGAACACCCGUGGCGAAGGCGGCUCUCUGGUACGUGACUGACGCUGAGACGCGAAAGCGUGGGGAGCGAACAGG